rfam:Grosmannia clavigera kw1407 unplaced genomic scaffold GCSC_97, whole genome shotgun sequence.
GCUUCUUUGGUCUAAUGGUUAUGAUUUCACACUUCCAAUGUGAAGACCCGUGUUCGAUUCACGGAAGUAGCA